GGAUCUUUAGCUCAGUUGGUUAGAGCAACCGGCUCAUAACCGGUCGGUCGUAGGUUCGAGUCCUACAAGAUCCA
rnacentral:tRNA from 1 species